rnacentral:rRNA from 1 species
UCGAUUUGUUGACAUAGGACGAGUUUUUAAAUAAGCAAGUGUACAAUUCAGUCGCCGGGGGCCCGCACAAGCGGUGGAGCAUGUGGUUUAAUUCGAUGCAACGCGAAGAACCUUACCUGGUCUUGACAUCCACGGAAGUUUUCAGAGAUGAGAAUGUGCCUUCGGGAACCGUGAGACAGGUGCUGCAUGGCUGUCGUCAGCUCGUGUUGUGAAAUGUUGGGUUAAGUCCCGCAACGAGCGCAACCCUUAUCCUUUGUUGCCAGCGGUCCGGCCGGGAACUCAAAGGAGACUGCCAGUGAUAAACUGGAGGAAGGUGGGGAUGACGUCAAGUCAUCAUGGCCCUUACGACCAGGGCUACACACGUGCUACAAUGGCGCAUACAAAGAGAAGCGACCUCGCGAGAGCAAGCGGACCUCAUAAAGUGCGUCGUAGUCCGGAUUGGAGUCUGCAACUCGACUCCAUGAAGUCGGAAUCGCUAGUAAUCGUGGAUCAGAAUGCCACGGUGAAUACGUUCCCGGGCCUUGUACACACCGCCCGUCACACCAUGGGAGUGGGUUGCAAAAGAAGUAGGUAGCUUAACCUUCGGGAGGGCGCUUACCACUUUGUGAUUCAUGACUGGGGUGAAGUCGUAACAAGGUAACCGUAGGGGAACCUGCGGUUG